UCUGACCUCAGAUUAGGUAGGACUACCCGCUGAACUUAAGCAUAUCAAUAAGCGGAGGA
rnacentral:rRNA from 1 species